rnacentral:rRNA from 1 species
UACGAAGGGGGCUAGCGUUGUUCGGAAUUACUGGGCGUAAAGCGCACGCAGGCGGCUCGAUAAAUUAGAAGUGAAAGCCCCGGGCUUAACCUGGGAAUUGCUUUUAAGACUGUCGGGCUAGAAUCCAGAAGAGGGUAGUGGAAUUCCGAGUGUAGAGGUGAAAUUCGUAGAUAUUCGGAAGAACACCAGUGGCGAAGGCAGCGAAUUGGCGCUAUAUUGACGCUCGGGCACGAAAGCAUGGGGAUCAAACAGG